rnacentral:lncRNA from 1 species
UCUGCAAAUUAUCGAUUUUUUGCGCAUUGCUUAUGUCAACUCAAGUUUCAGACCGGUUUAGUCUUAACUCACUUGCUAUGUUCCUUUUUUUUUUUUUUGCAGACAUCGUUGUCCUUGUGGCUAUCGUCAUCUUAAUAGGACUAUUCAGUAUGCAACACUACGGUACACACAAAGUAGGCUGGCUCUUUGCACCUAUCGUCUUCAUUUGGUUCCUCUUCAUCGGAGCCACUGGUAUAUACAACAUAUGCAAACACGACACAAGCGUUUUAAAAGCGUUUUCACCAACAUACAUCUACUUGUACUUCAAAAGACGAGGACGUGAUGGUUGGAUCUCUCUCGGUGGCAUUCUCCUCAGCAUUACAGGCACAGAGGCACUAUACGCAGACAUUGCUUUCUUCCCGUUACUAGCGAUACAGCUCGCUUUCACAUUUUUCGUCUUCCCUUGUCUUCUUCUAGCAUACUGUGGACAAGCUGCAUAUCUUGUGAACAACAAAGAUCAUUACCAAGAUGCUUUCUAUGCAUCUAUCCCUGGUCUGUCCUUUGUGCAUGAUCUUUUUAGAUUUUUUACAGAACACUCAAAAACUCUCUUUUGGUUUUGAAAUGUCUACAGAUACUGUGUAUUGGCCUAUGUUUAUAGCGGCGACAGGAGCUGCAAUCGUUGGGAGCCAAGCUACAAUCUCAGGGACUUAUUCUAUAGUCAAGCAGGCUGUGUCUCAUGGUUGUUUUCCACGUGUUAAGAUUGUUCACACUUCUAAGAAGUUCUUUGGUCAGAUCUAUUGCCCCGAUAUUAACUGGAUACUGAUGAUUGGCUGCAUCGCCGUCACCGCUAGUUUCAAGAAUCAGAGCCAAAUCGGAAAUGCAUACGGUAAGGUUGUAGUGGUUAACAUUUUACCAGAGGUCACUAACUCAACUGGAAAGGACUCUGAACAUUGUGUCUGAGGUCUUCAGUUCGAUUGACCGCUGAAACAAAACUAAUAUUACAUUGGUUUCGGGCCUUGGGGGUUUACGGGCUUCGGCCCGAACUUCCUUGUAUUAAAAAAAGAAAAAAGAUGUUAACAUUUUGGUAGCAUUCCUAACAAAACUGAAACUGUAUGUUCAUCUGUUUGGUCUUAUUAGGAACUGCUGUUGUGCUGGUGAUGCUUAUGACCACGUUGCUGAUGGUGCUGAUCAUGCUCCUUGUGUGGAGGUGCCACUGGAGCCUUGUCCUUAUAUUCGCCGUCCUCUCACUGGUAGUGGAGCUUUCUUACUUCUCGGCAGUGAUCUUUAAGUUUAUUGAAGGAGGAUGGGUUCCACUCAUCAUAGCAGCCAUCUCUCUUCUUGUAAUGUCUGUUUGGCAUUAUGCAACGGUCAAGAAGUAUGAGUUUGAAGUUCACAGUAAAGUUUCAAUGAGUUGGAUACUUGGUCUUGGUCCUAGCCUCGGUCUUGUCCGUGUCCCUGGGAUAGGAUUAGUCUACACGGAGUUAGCUAGAGGUGUCCCUCACAUCUUCUCUCAUUUCAUCACUAACUUGCCUGCGAUUCACUCGGUUGUAGUCUUUGUCUGCGUCAAGUACCUUCCUGUUUACACCGUCCCUGAAGAAGAGAGGUUUCUUGUCAAGAGAAUCGGACCAAAGACAUUCAGAAUGUUCCGUUGCGUAGCUAGGUACUAUCCUAGUAGUCCUUUAAUCUUCUCUGUUCUUUAGACAAGAGUUUUAAUAAACUGUUUUAAUAGGUAUGGUUACAAAGAUCUGCAUAGGAAAGACGAUGAUUUCGAAACCAAACUGUUCAAUAAGCUCUUAUCAUUCGUCCAUAUCGAAACAAUGAUGGAGCCAGGUGCAAACUCAAGCACGUACAGCAGCGCAUACUCAGUCAACCAAACACAAGACGCCACAGAUGCAUUAGUCCAUAUCAACAACAACAACAACCACAACAGCAACAACAACAAUGAGAACAAUGAAAACAACAACAUGGAUAUGUUCUCAUCGAUGGUGGACUACACGGUAUCGACUUUAGACACCAUAGUUCCCGUUGAUUCGCCGCAUAGCAGGAUGAGUUUCAGGCAUAGCAACACUAUAGAAGAAGAAGAGGAGGAUGAGUUGGAGUUUUUGAAGACUUGUAAAGAGUCAGGGGUUGUUCAUAUAAUGGGAAACACUGUGGUGAAAGCAAGAAGUGGAGCAGGGCUUCCCAAAAAGAUUGCGAUUGAUUAUGUUUAUGCGUUUCUUGCUAAGGUUUGUAGAGAGAAUAGUGUUAUCUUACAUGUUCCUCAUGAAACCCUUUUGAACGUUGGACAAGUCUUUUAUGUUUAGUUUUGUUCUCUUAUUUUUUUGUAAGACAGUUUCAGAUAAAAUGGAAUCAAAGGAUACCAAUUUCAAGGUUAUAGUUAUACAACAGAAUCUGUUAUUACUGGCCUUGAUCACAUAAACUUUCUCUAUCAAUUUGACUCUAUUACAUGUAUUAAAAGUCUUGACGCAAUGCCAAGAAACAACCAUUAUAAAGAGAUCUGGUCAUACUUGGUGUGAAAUUCUAUAAAUGAGGCCAUACUGAUGUUGAUGCAACCUUUUAUAUUCAAUGAGAAAGAGUAACUUUAUUGAUACAAAUUCUAUGAAAUAUAUAUUAAUAUUUGAUAAAUUAUAAAUUUAAAAAAUAGUUAUUUAGAGAGCCGGAAACAUAAAAUAUAAGGGGGUUUUAACGCGUGGAUCCCACCCGAGAGGCAAAAAUCGGUAACAAAAGAUAUGAAAUAAGGAUUGAUAAUCCGUGGGUUAUUGAUAUUAGGAGUUUUCAAGGCUCGUAAGACAAAUGUUGUAGUAUAAAUGAUUGUCGAACCAGUUCUGAGGGAUAUCAAAGCACCGAGAAUGCAAGUACACACUUAAUCUAAGUGCAACCAAUGAUUUAGAUGAGUUUUAAACUACUACUAAUACUAGAAAGCAAUUACAGAAUGAUACUUUCUUGACUAAGGGAAAAGAGAACUCAUGGGCAUAGGGAUUAGACCUUGGGUGAUCAAGUUUCGAACUAAGGAUGACAAACGAUCAAUCAAACUAUCAACCUUAAGCUUAGACACAAUAUUAAACAAACUCUAUGUCUAGAUGAAUGUUCAUUUACUAACAUAUCUCAAACAUCAAAUGUCUUUGGUUGAAUAAUAUGAAAGCAAUCAUUACUAACAAGUCUAUUAACUCUUAAUAUCAAACACAAGAUGAGAGCAUUGAAAUCUGAAUCAAAAGAACUUUUUACUAGUUGUUCCCCAGAAAAGAGAUUGUCUUUUUGGUGGCUACCAAAAAGGUACUUAAAAACAUAGGUUUUGAAAAGUAAAAACGUGCAUAAUGAAAUGACCAAAAGGCCCUUGAGAAAACAUCAAUUCGGCCAAACAAAUAGACGCAGAGCGACCUCGGCUCGUCGCUGCGAGAGGUCGCUCCCGGGUCUUUUCUUCGCGAGCAACCUGGUUGUGUCGCUCCAAAGACGUCGCUCCCGGGUCGUUUCUUCGCGAGCGACCUGGCUGUGUCGCUCUGAAGACGUCGCUCCGGGCUUGCUCCUUUAACCAGUUGUCGAUGUUGAUGCUACUGAGACUAUCAUUCCAAAGUCUAGGCAUAGUUUACGGAGAUUUAGGGACUUCUCCACUGUAUGUGUUCUACAAUACAUUCCCUGAUGGGAUUGAAGAUAGUGAAGAUGUAAUCGGAGCUCUUUCUUUGAUCAUUUACUCUCUUUUGCUUGUUCCUCUCAUCAAGUAUGUCUUCAUUGUCUGCAAAGCUAAUGACAAUGGUCAAGGUAAAAGCAUAAACUAAUAAACUUGAUCAAUGUUUUUAACCAAAACCGGUUUAGUUUAUAGUUAAUGUUUGUGUGCAGGUGGGACUUUAGCUAUAUACUCGUUGCUUUGUAGACAUGCUAAAGUGAGUCUAAUCCCGAAUCAUCAACGCAGCGAUGAGAAUCUCACUACUUAUAGUCGAACUCUAUCCACUGAAGGGUCUUUCUCUGCUAAAACAAAGAAGUGGUUAGAGGGUAAACAUUGGAGGAAGAGAGCUCUUCUUGUCAUUGUUCUUUUAGGGACUUGUAUGACCAUUGGUGAUGGUAUCUUAACCCCAGCCAUCUCCGGUAAAACCACCUUCUUCCUCUUUCUUUCUUCAGCUUAACCGAAACUUUUUAACUUGCAAAACCUUUUUUUCAUUACAGUUCUUUCAGCUACCGGUGGGAUCAAAGUCAACAAUCCAAAGAUGAGCAGCGGUAAAAUAUUAUAAAUGUAAAAUAUAUAAAAUAAAUCAAUAAUUCGUUUAAAUCUUAACGAAUAAUCCACCUAGUCGAUAAUCCUCUGCAAGUUAUCGAUUUUUUGCGCAUUGCUUAUGUCAACUCAAGUUUCAGACCGGUUUAGUCUUAACUCACUUGCUAUGUUCCUUUUUUUUUUUGCAGACAUCGUUGUCCUUGUGGCUAUCGUCAUCUUAAUAGGACUAUUCAGUAUGCAACACUACGGUACACACAAAGUAGGCUGGCUCUUUGCACCUAUCGUCUUCAUUUGGUUCCUCUUCAUCGGAGCCACUGGUAUAUACAACAUAUGCAAACACGACACAAGCGUUUUAAAAGCGUUUUCACCAACAUACAUCUACUUGUACUUCAAAAGACGAGGACGUGAUGGUUGGAUCUCUCUCGGUG